CGUCGGCAGCUUUGGCGCGUGGUGCGAGGCGAAGCAACGAGCUGCCGUCGCGUUGUACCAAGCGCUGCGGGUCGGCGACGGCGGCGCGGAUCCGCUGAUCUUGCGUGCGAGAUGUCUAUUUUGGCGACAAACCAGGAGCGCAGCGCGCCAGGUUCCUCAUCUGGCCAUUCCCAUCUAGCGGUUGUUCGAUUUGGGGAGGAACAGAAGCUUAUCAUGCAACUGCAGUCUGCUCAAUGGGAGAGAUGAUGGCCAUUGGCCAACAACUGCUUGGUUUGAUGGGAGCUGAGAAAAAUUAGAUGGGGAGCCGCUAGCUGCAGCCGCUAGCUGCUUGCCUUCUUGCUCGGUGGAAGAAGCAAGGAGCAGACAGAUGUUUUUUAAUGCGGCAGGAAGAAACACCAGCAGCAAAGAGAGGAAGAAGAUGUACAUGAGGCUGGCACGUGGGUCCCGUGUAGCAGAACUAAGUUCUUACGGUAGAACUUAUCAGGUUCUGUUCAGAAAAAAACUUAUUUAAUUACUAUAAUUCAGAAUCUGUUGAGACUCAUGCAAAUUAUUGGAAUAUAUCAUGGGUUCUCUCAUGUAAGCAUAAAAAUGAUUACAAAGAUUAAAUUAUGUACUAGAUCAUCAUGAUUUACAUGUUAAAACAUGAAUUAAAUAUCUUAUAGACUGUCAAAUAGACAGCAAUUGGCUAA